rnacentral:lncRNA from 1 species
GAGGAGGAAACUUAUGUGCAGAGCAGACAUAUAACCUUCCUAUAGUCACUGGUGGAAUAGGUGGUCUAGCUAAGACUUUGUUCCAGGUUUCAGGACCCCAGAUCUGUGUCCUUAAAUCAAAUGGGCAAAGAAGGAAUACACAAUGGAAAUGUUCUAAAGUAGAUAUUACAAGAAAAGAGAGACAAAAGAGACAAGCCAAUAGGGUGAAAUCUUUCUAAAUUUUAGUCAAGAUGAAGGGAAUGUUAUGGCCCUGUUGGUGAGAUUUUGUGUUCUAUUUUCUAUCCAUUGUUACUCACCUGAACCAAUGACACAUUAUAUUGAUCACAAUGACUGUAUGCCAAACUUUGAGGUCAAUA